rnacentral:tRNA from 2 species
UCCGGCAUAGCUCAGCGGUAGAGUAGAUGACUGUUAAUCAUUUGGUCCCUGGUUCGAAUCCAGGUGCCGGAG